rnacentral:misc_RNA from 1 species
GAAAGAUUAUAGACCACCUGUUUUCGAUGAAAUAGAAGAUGCAAACCUGGAUGACGUUGAAGCAGUCUUCAGGGACUCUGAAGAAUAUCACGUAACGGAAAGAAGAGAAGAGAAGCCAACUUCCAUGAAUGCUUUCGAGUUGAUUUCUAUGUCACAAGGUCUUAACCUUGGCAAUCUCUUCGACGAACAGGGAUUCAAGAGAGAGACAAGGUUCACGUCUAAAUGUCCGGCUAAUGAGAUAAUCAGUAAGAUUGAAGAAGCUGCUAAGCCUCUCGGUUUUGACGUUCACAAAAAGAACUACAAGAUGAGGCUUCAAAAUCUGAAAGCCGGUAGAAAAGGGAACCUUAACGUUUCCACUGAGGUGUUUCAAGUUGCUCCUUCUCUUCAUAUGGUCGAGGUGCGGAAGUCAAAAGGAGACACUUU